UACGUAGGGCGCAAGCGUUGUCCGGAAUUAUUGGGCGUAAAGAGCUCGUAGGCGGCUUGUCGCGUCGGAUGUGAAAGCCCGGGGCUUAACUCCGGGUCUGCAUUCGAUACGGGCAGGCUAGAGUGUGGUAGGGGAGAUCGGAAUUCCUGGUGUAGCGGUGAAAUGCGCAGAUAUCAGGAGGAACACCGGUGGCGAAGGCGGAUCUCUGGGCCAUUACUGACGCUGAGGAGCGAAAGCAUGGGGAGCGAACAGG
rnacentral:rRNA from 1 species